rnacentral:misc_RNA from 1 species
GAUGGAGAACGUAGCGAAAUGCGAUAAGUAAUGUGAAUUGCAGAAUUCCGUGAAUCAUCGAAUCUUUGAACGCACAUUGCGCCCCUUGGUAUUCCAUGGGGCAUGCCUGUUCGAGCGUCAUUUGUACCUUCAAGCUUUGCUUGGUGUUGGGUGUUUGUCUCGCCUUUGCGUGUAGACUCGCCUUAAAAUAAUUGGCAGCCGGCGUAUUGAUUUCGGAGCGCAGUACAUCUCGCGCUUUGCACUCAUAACGACAGCGUCCAAAAGUACAUUUUACACUCUUGACCUCGGAUCAGGUAGGGAUACCCGCUGAACUUAAGCAUAUCAAUAAGCGGAGGA